rnacentral:tRNA from 1 species
GGUUCCGUAGCUCAACUGGAUAGAGCAACUGCCUUCUAAGCAGUAGGUUCGGGGUUCGAGUCCCUGCGGGAUCACCA